rnacentral:tRNA from 1 species
GCCCUCGUAGUAUUAAAGGCUAAGUACGCAUCUGUGGUAUGGAUGAGGUGUUGGUUCGAUUCCGACCGAGGGCU